rnacentral:rRNA from 1 species
GGUUGAUCCUGCCAGUAGUCAUAUGCUUGUCUCAAAGAUUAAGCCAUGCAUGUCUAAGUAUAAACAUCUUUAUACAGUGAAACUGCGUACAGCUCAUUAUAUCAGUUAUGAUUUAUUUGAUGGUACCUUACUACAUGGAUACCCGUAGUAAUUCUAGAGCUAAUACAUGCGCACAAUCCCGACUACUCGUUGGAAGGGAUGUAUUUAUUAGAUUCAAACCCAAUGCAGUAGCAAUACUGGAUCUCAUUGGUGACUCAUAGUAACUUGUUUCGAAUCGCAUGGCCUUGUGCUGG